rnacentral:lncRNA from 1 species
AGACUCAAAAAAUUCCUAGCAAUAUAAAAUAGACGUAUUUUUCUUUUUGAAAAUCCUUGAUGUAUUGUUACAGCUUAAGUUCCUCAGAGUUUGGGAUGCAAAAGGUUUAUUGGGAAUUAACCCCUGUGGGAGAUAGGGGGCAAAAGCAAGAUUGGGUAGAGGAGGAAGUCCAUCCCUGAAGUGGAACCGGCAAAACCUUGGGCAAGCUUGCGGGCACCUCGGGAGAGAGCAUUACCUGUCAAGGCCUUGGGCCAAAAUGGCUGGGCUUUCGUGUCCCUGCCUGGCUCAGUCACAAGAAGCAGUUUGGCCCAGGUAGGGUGAGGCUGGGGGCAAGGUGACUGCAACUAAGCUGACCCUGAAGGAGCUGCCUGCUGGAGGCUGCUUGCUGACUGCUAUUCAUGCGCCCGCACAGGGGGAUGAGGGCAGCGCAUCUCCACGUCUUCCAAAAUUCUGCGAAUGUUUUCUGCCAUAUUCACUGAAGGAAGAUAUUCAUCUGAGCAGAAAAAUAACAGAUCAUUGCAGUUGUGAAUCUUGUCAAAGGACAAAUGAAAAUAUGUUCAUUUUGGAUAAGAGAUGAGUUACAAAGUGCCUGCUUUUAUUAAAUGUCGUGGGAUCAGGCCAGACCCUGGGGCUGAGUGUUUGGGGCUCUUCUUGCUCUGCUUCAGCAGCCCAGGGUUUGCUGUUCGGAUCCUGGGCACAGACCUCUACUCAUCGGCCAUGCUGUGGAGGCAACCCACCUACAAAACAGAGGAAGACUGGCAUAGAUGUUAUCUCAUGGCUAACCUUCCUCAAGCAAAAAAAAAAAAAAAAAUAUCAUGGGAAAAAAUUAAAUAUCAAUCAGAUUAACAUUAACUGAAAGUUCAGUUAAGGUUAUUUUUCCUAAAAUAAAGUUGCUUUUUGUUGUUGUUCCAAACUCAAUACUUGAUAUCAGAAAGUAUAAACAAAAGAAGAAAAC